rnacentral:lncRNA from 1 species
UAUGUAUAUAUACAUGGAGGAAACUUUCUAUGAAUCGUUUAUAGGCGAUAUAAUAUAGGACUUUUCCAGGAGAUAUUUAUUUUUUAGAAUAUUAAUUUGGGUGUCCAGGCACAGCUAGUGGAAGCUUAAUGGUGCCCAAGUCAUUCUCCCUAGGAUUUAGGAUUGAAAUCUCCAUAGGAUUUAAAGUCUGGAAAGUCAUUCCUUUGCAUCAGCCCCUUCUGAGGAUGAGCCGGUCAGCUGUGGAGCCCAUCCCAGGCUGUCACCGUCUGACAGUCAGGCCCCCGGCCUCUUCCUUGGUCCAGAGAGAAGCUCUGCCCAGCAGCUCCUGAGAGAGAGCACGGAGACCUACCCCGGGCCAAAUAAGGGAAAAUUACAAAAGGGGCCUCAGAGUCUGGGUCUGAGUCACGUCUGAGCGAUGCGGCCACGGUCUGACUCAGCUCGUGGAGAUCCUUCAGCUCCUAAGGGCAAGAAUGAGAAUCAUGAAAGCAGCAGGCUUGGAGGUGGAACGGGAGGGCGGCACCAUCUCCUCUCGUGUAACCCGUGCAGGUUCCUGAAACGGACGAUGAUGUCUUUCUUAUUCAUCUUGCGAUCCUGGCAUAGCUCCUGACACCUGGACUCUGUGAAACUGAUAUCCCUCCAGAGGACCCCAGAUAAUAAGACGCGGUUCCAAUUCUCCAGAGCUGGGCCAUUCAAAGCCAGUUUUAAACAAGAGGUUGAAUGACGCUCCUGAUGGCUCAGUUUUAUACGUGGUAUUAGUGUACUUCUGGUGGCAAGGGAGUUUUUUAUGACUCGUAUAAAUGACAUCUUAA